rnacentral:rRNA from 1 species
CGGAGGAUCCAAGCGUUAUCCGGAAUCAUUGGGUUUAAAGGGUCCGUAGCGGGUUUAUAAGUCAGUGGUGAAAGCCCAUCGCUCAACGAUGGAACGGCCAUUGAUACUGUAGAUCUUGAAUUAUUAGGAAGUAACUAGAAUAUGUAGUGUAGCGGUGAAAUGCUUAGAGAUUACAUGGAAUACCAAUUGCGAAGGCAGGUUACUACUAAUGGAUUGACGCUGAUGGACGAAAGCGUGGGUAGCGAACAGGAUUAGAUACCCUGGUAGUCCACGCCGUAAACGAUGGAUACUAGCUGUUCGGAGCAAUCUGAGUGGCUAAGCGAAAGUGAUAAGUAUCCCACCUGGGGGAGUACGUUCGCAAGAAUG